GACGAACGCUGGCGGCGUGCCUAACACAUGCAAGUCGAACGGAGAUACGAUUUCGGUUGUAUCUUAGUGGCGAACGGGUGAGUAACGCGUGAGCAACCUGACUCUUAGAGGGGGAUAACACCUGGAAACAAGUGCUAAUACCGCAUAAGACCACGACCCGGCAUCGGGAUGAGGUCAAAGGAGCAAUCCGCUGAGAGAGGGGCUCGCGUCCCAUUAGAUAGAUGGCGGGGUAACGGCCCACCAUGUCAGCGAUGGGUAGCCGAGCUGAGAGGCUGAUCGGCCACACUGGAACUGAGACACGGUCCAGACUCCUACGGGAGGCAGCAGUGGGGAAUAUUGGGCAAUGGGCGCAAGCCUGACCCAGCAACGCCGCGUGAGGGAAGAAGGCUUUCGGGUUGUAAACCUCUGUCCUUGGUGACGAAACAAAUGACGGUAGCCAAGGAGGAAGCCCCGGCUAACUACGUG
rnacentral:rRNA from 1 species